CCUACGGGAGGCAGCAGUGAGGAAUAUUGGUCAAUGGGCGCAAGCCUGAACCAGCCCAGUCGCGUGAGGGAUGACGGUCCUAUGGAUUGUAAACCUCUUUUGUCGGGGAGCAAGGCCCGCCACGUGUGGCGGGACGGAGAGUACCCGCAGAAAAAGCAUCGGCUAACUCCGUGCCAGCAGCCGCGGUAAUACGGGGGAUGCGAGCGUUAUCCGGAUUUAUUGGGUUUAAAGGGUGCGUAGGCGGAAUGUUACGUCAGCGGUCAAAUGUCGGUGCUCAACACCGGCCUGCCGUUGAAACUGGUCUUCUGGAGUGAGCGAGAAGUAGGCGGAAUGCGUGGUGUAGCGGUGAAAUGCAUAGAUAUCACGCAGAACUCCGAUUGCGAAGGCAGCAUACCGGCGCUCAACUGACGUUGAGGCACGAAAGCGUGGGGAUCGAACAGGAUUAGAUACCCGAGUAGUC
rnacentral:rRNA from 1 species